GGUCCGUGAUGUGAUGUAAAAGGUCUGAUUCGCACGUCCCCACCCUGUAGCUCCUGGUUCCCAGCAGCCCCUGCUUUCUCCCAUCAUGCUCUAGUUGUGCACUGAUGGGCUCAGGGGCUCCUGACAGAUAGGAUGGCGUCUUGGUCCGUGUCUCCGAGAGACCAAGGAGCCAUGGCAGUGACAGACAUCCAAUACAGCCAAUCAGCAAGGAACACACAGGGCCUGGGCAGGGGCUUGUGUGUGAUCUCAAGUUUAAGCUGAGACC